rnacentral:rRNA from 1 species
GAUGAACGCUGGCGGCGUGCUUAACACAUGCAAGUCGAACGGUGAAGCAGGAGCUUGCUCUUGUGGAUCAGUGGCGAACGGGUGAGUAACACGUGAGCAACCUGCCCCUGACUCUGGGAUAAGCGCUGGAAACGGCGUCUAAUACUGGAUAUGUGAUGUGACCGCAUGGUCUGCAUCUGGAAAGAAUUUCGGUUGGGGAUGGGCUCGCGGCCUAUCAGCUUGUUGGUGAGGUAAUGGCUCACCAAGGCGUCGACGGGUAGCCGGCCUGGGAGGGUGACCGGCCACACUGGGACUGGGACACGGCCCAGACUCCUACGGGAGGCAGCAGUGGGGAAUAUUGCACAAUGGGCGGAAGCCUGAUGCAGCAACGCCGCGUGAGGGAUGACGGCCUUCGGGUUGUAAACCUCUUUUAGCAGGGAAGAAGCGAAAGUGACGGUACCUGCAGAAAAAGCACCGGCUAACUACGUGCCAGCAGCCGCCGUAA